CACAUGGAGAGCACACCAGCAGCACACUAGUGAGGAGUUUCCUCCCCACCUUUUUCACUCCCCAGCAGGUUUGUGUUUCCUGACCUCCAUGCAUCCAUCCAAGGUGCUGGACUUUUGUUCUUUUAGUUUCUUGUGUUAGUUUGGGCUGGAGGUUACUGCUAGUUCAGUUAUUCAUCUCUUUUGUUUGUUCUAGGAUUAGUUUACACUUUUUAAGGUAAUUAAGGGGAGACUGGGGGAGACUGGGGGAGUGACGGUCCACUGCGAGGUUGGUCCAGAGUCUUCCCAUUUUUUUGUUCCUUUUUAGCCGGGGUCUCCAGUGCCUUUUUGGCUUCUCUUUGUUUGCUACUUUUGGGACUAUGUUUGCAGCUUGUUGGUUAAUUGUUAACCUUGUGACUGGCAUCCUUUUUUAUAUGUUGCAUCCUCCAAUCCCUUUUGAGCCUUGGUUUGUUUCUUAAAAUGGAGGCUGUAACACCGAUCCUAUCCCCAACCUGGAUCUACCAGCACCUACCUGGAACAUUCCAAAGCUGCUGUUGGACUGGCUCGUAGUGGCUCCGGGCAAAAGUUUGCCGGAGGCCGCAACACCAGCUGAUAUCCCUGCAGUUGGUGACUGUUGACACGGCCGCCUAAAGACAGCCGCUACAGCCUCCCAUUUCACCAAAAAGCAUCGGAGAUAUGCUAUAUAUUAUAAGGAUGAUGGAGAGGAUAAAUUCACAAUUCCAUGCCUGUGUGACAAAGGGAGGGACACAAGACGCAGCCACUGGCACUGCCCAAAAAGGUUAAGAACCACUUGUCUGUUUGACCCAAUUGAUGGAAUCCUUUAAACCUGCUGGAGAAAGUGACAUGGAGCCUUCGACCAAAUCUCUGAAGUGCUUUCUAUUUAGUGUUGCAUCUGCUUGGGGCAUUCCUAAAAUAGGGUGUUAAUGGAGUCUCCAGGUCUGUACUGAGCUGAUGCUCUGGUGGUCCACCCACAACAGGAAGGAGAAAAUCCCUGUGAGUUCCCUGCUGAGUGCUUGACUUACGGUUUCACAAAUAAAAGCAACACACUAUGAGUAAUUGAC